GAAAGUAUGCGCGGAGAAAUAGAGAAAGUUCCGCUAAAAUCCAAUCAAAGGCAGAUAAAUUCACGCAAAAAUGGAGGAAAAGGGCAAAGGAAAAGAGCGAUGGAAGGCGUCACUCGUAAAUUUGUCGGAGAUGGGGGCCAAUCUAGAUUCUCUGCAGAAGCUGAUCAUGAAAAAAGCUGUCUAUGUGGACGAAGAAACAUUCGCCAAAACCUCCCUGAGCUCCGAGCAAGCGCGAAUUAUCAAGGCACUUGAGCAAAGGAUUGAGACAUUAGAAAGGGAGCUUGAUGCUGCAAUUACAGCUGCAGCUCAUGCUCGUGCAGAGAAACGACAGGCUGAGGUAGCCCAACGAGCUUCUGAGUUACGUGCACACGAGAUUACAAGAGAGCUUGAGAACACCACAAGUAUGUGUUUCUCAACUAUAUUUGAUUUCUAUCUUAUAGAACUUAUGAAUCUUGUCUAGCAUCAGGAUUCAGGACCCCUAUAAUUCUCAGUAACUGAUAAAAUGAGAUAAAGGAGCUCAUGGUCCCUAACUUUCAUGGUGACUUAAGAGUGGUGAGAGUUUAAAAUUUAGCCUCAAGUUCUUGUGCUUAGUGCUCACCUCAAGGUGAGCUUCAUGUUAUAAGCAUCACAUGGCUUAUAAAGUAUUGGUUUAAAUAUGGAUGUGUAUAGAGUUGUUAUCCUGUGGUUA